UGAUUGGUUUCUAUUUGCUUGUUAAAGAACCCUCCUUAGAUGGCUAUGCAUUUUAACUUGUUUGAUAACUGCAAUUGUAAUGCUUGUUCUUGGUUUAAAAGCAACAGCGAAAUACUCCGUAUCUGUCUUCCCUUACCACUGAUUGUCUGCUCCUUGCUAGAUCCAGGAUCAAGAUCCUGAUGUUGCCUAUUCUUUCUUCCAAGUACCAGGGAAGGGGGCAGGAAGUGGGAGGUGGGGAUAUAAAAUGUCUUUUUAUAUAUGGUGGGAAUAUAGAUUUCUUUAUAUAUGAUGGUGUCCAUCAUAUAUGUCCUGAAUUUGCCAUUUUCAGUUACCAUAUUUGGAAACAUUUAUCUUGAGAUAGAGGACACAGUGCUUUGAAGUUGAAAGUGUUGCUUUUAAAAAGUACAUUUCAAGUAAGCUGAAACAGGGUAAAUGGCAUUUUCAUGUGUCAGAAUGAUGGAUUUUCUAUUAACAUGCAUUUCCCGAGUUUCACAGUUGAUCUAUUUCUUUCCCUCGGCCAUCUCAAGUAGAUCAGUUAUCUGUCAACAGGUUUGUUUAGGGGCAACUUUGGAAACGGUUCAGCACAGUUAAGUGUCAGCCCUAGGUACAUACUCGAAAAACUCUUACAUGCUGCCAGGAGAAGGAUGAACAAAUAUCUUAAUGUCAUCUUGUGUAAUGAAGAAGAGAAAACCCAAACCAGCAAAACCCUGGGCGGAUCCCACCAGCAUUUGUGUGGAUAACUAGCGUGACCCAUCCCCACCGUGGAAUUCCACAGGCGUGAAGAUGAACUUCAGCUCCACAUGUGACCUGGAUGACCACGACUUAAUAAUGUCCCCAGAAAUCAAGCCACAGAAGGAGUUUUCCAUUAUGCUUCCCUUUGGUAAAGGUCAAAACAGGCUGUUAAGAGUACACGGUAAAUGACAGAGAGACAGACAGUCGGCAUACAGAUCACUCUUAGCGGCUGCUUGAGAAUGACCUUGGAGGGCAGGGUGGGUUUCAGAGUAAUGGCCACCGCGUUUUCUCUAACUCGAUGGGCUUUUUUCUUUUUGAACUGUAUGUUUGUGUGCUUUUGUGUAUAUGCUAUUUCUUAAUAAAAAAAUUUUUUUU
rnacentral:lncRNA from 1 species